AGGACGAACGCUGGCGGCGUGCUUCAUACAUGCAAGUCGAACGAGGUCGAUCCGGUGGCAACACCGGUGAAGACCUAGUGGCGAACGGGUGAGUAACACGUGAGCAAUCUGCCCCGAAGACCGGGACAACAGCGGGAAACCGCUGCUAAUACCGGAUACCCUCCACAGGCCACGAUGGCCAGUUGAGGAAAUGGAUUCUGCUUCGGGAGGGGCUCGCGGCCUAUCAGCUAGUUGGUGGGGUAAUGGCCUACCAAGGUGACGACGGGUA
rnacentral:rRNA from 1 species